rnacentral:tRNA from 1 species
GGCCCGGUGGCUCAGCUGGUUAGAGCGCCGCCCUGUCGCGGCGGAGGUCGUGGGUUCGAACCCCAUCCGGGUCG